rnacentral:rRNA from 1 species
AACGAACGCUGGCGGCAUGCCUAACACAUGCAAGUCGAACGAGAUCUUCGGAUCUAGUGGCGCACGGGUGCGUAACGCGUGGGAAUCUGCCCUUGGGUUCGGAAUAACAGUGAGAAAUUACUGCUAAUACCGGAUGAUGUCUUCGGACCAAAGAUUUAUUGCCCAGGGAUGAGCCCGCGUAGGAUUAGCUAGUUGGUGGGGUAAUGGCCUACCAAGGCGACGAUCCUUAGCUGGUCUGAGAGGAUGAUCAGCCACACUGGGACUGAGACACGGACCAGACUCCUACGGGAGGCAGCAGUGGGGAAUAUUUGACAAUGGGGGAAAGCCUGAUACAGCAAUGCCGCGUGAGUGAUGAAGGCCUUAGGGUUGUAAGGCUCUUUUACCAGGGAUGAUAAUGACAGUACCUGGAGAAUAAGCUCCGGCUAACUCCGUGCCAGCCGCCGCGGUAA